UACGGGGGGGAGCAAGCGUUGUUCGGAUUUACUGGGCGUAAAGGGCGCGUAGGCGGUCAGCACAAGUCAGUUGUGAAAUCUCCGGGCUUAACUCGGAAAGGUCAACUGAUACUGUGCGACUAGAGUGCAGAAGGGGCAACUGGAAUUCUCGGUGUAGCGGUGAAAUGCGUAGAUAUGCGGAGGAACACCGAUGGCGAAGGCAAUCCCCUGGGCCUGCACUGACGCUCAUGCACGAAAGCGUGGGGAGCAAACAGG
rnacentral:rRNA from 1 species